CGUGAGUGAUGAAGGCCUUAGGGUUGUAAAACUCUUUCGCACGCGACGAUAAUGACGGUAGCGUGAGAAGAAGCUCCGGCUAACUUCGUGC
rnacentral:rRNA from 1 species